CUCGUAGGUGGCCAACUAAGUCGGACGUGAAAUCCCUCGGCUUAACCGGGGAACUGCGUCCGAUACUGGUUGGCUUGAGUUUGGGAGAGGGAUGCGAAAUUCCAGGUGUAGCGGUGAAAUGCGUAGAUAUCUGGAGGAACACCGGUGGCGAAGGCGGCAUCCUGGACCAAUACUGACGCUGAGGAGCGAAAGCCAGGGGAGCAAACG
rnacentral:rRNA from 1 species